UACGUAGGGGGCAAGCGUUGUCCGGAAUUAUUGGGCGUAAAGAGCGCGUAGGCGGUCCGGUAAGUCGGCUGUGAAAGUCAAGGGCUCAACCCUUGAAAGCCGGCCGAUACUGUCGGACUAGAGUCCGGGAGAGGUGAGUGGAACUGCGAGUGUAGAGGUGAAAUUCGUAGAUAUUCGCAAGAACACCAGUGGCGAAGGCGGCUCACUGGCCCGGUACUGACGCUGAGGUGCGAAAGCGUGGGGAGCAAACAG
rnacentral:rRNA from 1 species